UACGAAGGGUGCAAGCGUUGUUCGGAAUCAUUGGGCGUAAAGCGCGCGCAGGCGGAUUGAUAAGUCAGGUGUGAAAUCUCGGGGCUCAACCCCGAAACUGCGCCUGAAACUAUUAGUCUAGAAUGUCGGAGGGGGCAGGGGAAUUUCACGUGUAGGGGUAAAAUCCGUAGAGAUGUGAAGGAACACCGGGGGCGAAGGCGCCUGCCUGGACGACUAUUGACGCUGAGGCGCGAAAGCGUAGGUAGCGAAUCGG
rnacentral:rRNA from 1 species